rnacentral:rRNA from 1 species
GGGGGGGGGGGCAAGCGUUGUUCGGAAUUACUGGGCGUAAAGGGCGCGUAGGCGGUCCCGCAAGUCUUUCGUGAAAUCCCACAGCUCAACUGUGGAAUUGCGAGGGAAACUGCAGGACUUGAGUUCGGGAGAGGAGAGUGGAAUUCCCAGUGUAGCGGUGAAAUGCGUAGAUAUUGGGAGGAACACCGGUGGCGAAGGCGGCUCUCUGGACCGACACUGACGCUGAGGCGCGAAAGCUAGGGGAGCAAACGGGAUUAGAUACCCCGGUAGUCCUAGCCCUAAACGAUGAGCACUUGGUGUGGCGGGUAUCGACCCCUGCCGUGCCGAAGCUAACGCAUUAAGUGCUCCGCCUGGGGAGUACGGUCGCAAAGGCUG